CCACAUCUGCGCGGGCGCCGUUCAUCCCACGGCGGAGGGCCCCUGCCAGGACUGCUCUGCCAGACCUCCCUAUUCCCCAUGGCGAGCCUCCUGUGCACCCCCUCCCUUUCCGACGAGUGCAUACGCAUAGCCGCAUACAGGUGAAUCAAUGCCGAGCGCAAACGAGAGUUAGAUAGGAGAGACAGUGUGGGUCGCUGCUGUUGCUCCCCGCUGCCUCCGUUGAACUCGUGACGCCUUCGCUGACGGGUCUUGGAGAUCCGCCCUUGUGCGGAGCUCGUGUUGGCAGGCUUCCUAGUUCGCGUGUGGCCUUGAUGGAUCGACGAUUUCUCGCCGGAUUUGGAAACCAGCCAUCCUGUCGCUCCCCCUCCGUCGACUUCAUAUCCCGGCAUGCCAAAUCCAGGUAUGGAGCAUGCAGCGGAAUUCGCCUCCGUCUUCUCUGCGCCUAGCACCUAGUUAAUUUCGGGUUCGUGCGCUUGGGUGCUGGCGUGAAUCUCGCCCGCCAUGGCGUCGCCGCCGCGCGGGCUGGCGCACCGCCGUCUCCGACCGGGGUGAGGGAAACGUGGGGCCAUUGAUCUCGUGUGUAGCGGCCAAGAUUUGGUGUUAGAGUAACUCGUCGUGAAGUCAAAUCUGGACCAUAGGUGUUAGAUCCGACCGCUGCUGUCGAGUACCGGUUCAUUCGUCGGGGAUCUAAUCUGGGUCGUCUGUUUUGAUCUGACGGCUCAGAUCAAGUGUUUCCCCUAGGCCGCGCCCAUUUUACAUAAGAACCCUCGCUGUUACACCAAAUCAACCCACAGUUCUGCGCUGUGGGCACCGAGUCUUGGGAAUUCUAAUGCAGAUGCCCCUGCCUUUCUCAGGAAUUAUGCGCGCAGUCCAGAGUAUUGGUAAAUCAGAGAAAAGAAUUAUAAAUUGAUUUUUGAAUAUAGAAAUAAUUGCAGAAACUUGUUUAAUUCCUAGAAAAUUCAUAUGAAGUCCAAAUUAAUCCAUUCCGAUCCCUAUAAUUUUGUAAUAUUAUUAUUUAUCAUGUAGUACUACUGUUUUGACAUGAAAGUCAAAUUAAAAUUUAUAUCAUAUUUAAUCUUGUACAAAACACAUAGAAUCUUCGGAAAUUCAUAACUCCUCCGUUUGAAUUCCGAAUUGACUCGUUCCAGUUACGUUAGUCUCGUAUAAAUUUUUACUAUGCAAUAACAACAUUUAUUUUACCAUGUUUUAUUCUUUUAUAACUAGACUUUUAUUUAACUUAUGUUAGUUAGUCUUGUUAAUCUGCUUAUCAUUAUAAUCUACUAAAAUAUGAUCUAUGGUCAAUUUAUAAUUUAUAUUAAAGUUGAAUUAAUUACUACUUUAGGUUAUCUUUUCUCUGGGAUUAUAAAAUAAACAUAGAACCUAGUUUGAAUCAUUUAAUCACCUCAUAACUUGAUGACCACGACUCCGAUCUUAGUAGUUCUCGAUCCCACGAUCUCGUAGCGACGUGUAGAUCAUUAUUAUGCAGUUUGUUCAUAUGUUUAGUGUGAUAUUAAUUUUGUCUAUACCAUGUCUGUUUGUAUUGCUACGACUAGCAGUGAGAUCGCGAGGAUCUGAAGAAUCAUCCUAGUACCUGGGAUCUCAAGUGUCAAGCAAGUUGUGUCUUUGAUCACAUUUAUUACCCAAUAAUGUUCUUUAUUAUCACUUAUUCAUGCAUAGGUUUAAUUUUGAUGGGACCCAAUAGGUCACCCUAGUCUGUUUAUCUUGUUAUCUUGUUUACCCCUGAAUCAUUUGGGUAGUUUUUGCUAUUGCCCUAUAUGUUUUUGGGAUUAAUACUACAUUAUGUCCAUGUUUCAAUUAUUCUGUUAUUUUAUUUAUGUUCAUGUCAAGAUCAUCAUUAUCUUUAAUUGGAACAUGGAGCUUAACUAGAGAAACAUGUGCCACCACAAGGGUGUAAUGGGACGCCCUUGGCUAACUAAUUAGGAAAGCUAGUGGAAGACUACCUUACCCGAAAGGGGCAAGGGAAGUAAGGGAGUUGCAUGCAGGGAGGUUCUCGGGUUGAUUUUGCCGCAAUGGCGGUCAGAAGAGGGAUUCUUGCAAGUGCUCUUUUCAUAAACUGUAGCGGGUUUUUGGAAGCUAGUGGAACUUUGUAAAGGCCUCGUAGUGGAUCCCUAGCCAUUCACCUCGGUAGUGUCUAAGGGUCUAUCUAACCCUGGCGACAUGGGAUACACGACUUGUGGGUACAGGGUACAACCUCUGCAGAGUGUAAAACUGGUAUACUAGCCGAGCUCACGGUCAUGAGCAGCUCAGGACUCUUGCAUGAUUAAUUUAUGGAACUUAAAUUCAAUUUGUCAUUUGCAUUGCAUGGGAUUAUUUAUUAAUUUUGUUCUAUUAUUUAUUAUGGUUUGGUAUUUACUUACACUUAGUAACUGCUAAUAAAAUUUUGACCAACAUAUUAAAAGCAAUGCUCAGCUUUAACCCCUAUUGUUGAUUAGCCUUACACAUCACAUGAACUCCCACCUUUGGUGAGUUCAUGCCACAUUAUUCCCCACAACUUGUUGAGUGAUGAACAUGUGUGAGCUCAUCCUUGCUGUCUCACACUCCCCCACAGGAGAAGAACAUGUGGUUCAAGUGGAGCCACGUAUCGAGGGGUUCGAUUCGAUCUAGGUGGCGUCUCCCAGUUGACUUUAUGGCGCCAAGGAUGGACUUUAGUUCGAUCUAUAUUUAUCUUCUAUUUUGUAAGACUUCCGCUAUGUAACAAUGUCGGGGACCAUAAUUAGGGGUACCCCCAAGACUCCUAAACUCGGCUGGUAACCACCAUCAGCACAAAGCUGCAAAGGCCUGAUGGGCGCAGUACAGGUCAAAGCUCUGCCCACUCAAGGGACACGAUCUCGCCUCGCCCGAGCCCAGCCUCGGACACGAACAGCAGACCCAGGUGGAUUCACGUCUCGCCCGAGGGCCUCCUCAAGCAACGGGCGCACCUUCGAACUCGCCCGAGGCCCAGCUCGGGCAGGCUUCGCGGAGAAGCAACCUUGGCCAGAUCACCUCGCCAACCGACCGUAUCGCAGGAGCAUUCAAUACAAGGAUUGUCUGACACCUUAUCCUGACGCACGUUCCUCAGUCGACAGGGCCGAAGUGACCGCAGUCACUUCGCCCCUCCACUGACUGACCUGACAGGAAAACAGCGCCGCCUGCCCCUGCUCCGACUGCUGUGCCACCCGCCAGGGUGAGGCUUACAGCAGCCAAGUCCAGC
rnacentral:lncRNA from 1 species